rnacentral:misc_RNA from 1 species
UGGUUCUCGCAUCGAUGAAGAACGCAGCGAAAUGCAAUAAGUAAUGUGAAUUGCAGAAUUCAGUGAAUCAUCGAAUCUUUGAACGCACCUUGCGCUCCUUGGUAUUCCGAGGAGGAUGCCUGUUUGAGUGUCAUGUUAACUCUCAACCUUUGGGAUGGAUUAUGGACGCCGCGGGAGGCCUCCCGCUCGUCUCAAAUGCAUUUAAAUCGCGUUCCACGGCCAGGCUGCGGGCUAAGUCAUACUUGCCCAUGCUUGCGCCGUUCACUCGCAACUCGGGGAAUGCCACCGGCGUGACCCAUUUGACUUCUGGCCUCAAAUCAGGUAGGACUACCCGCUGA